rnacentral:rRNA from 2 species
CAAGUCGAACGGAAAUAGAGGAGCUUGCUCCUCUUGAUUAGUGGCGAACGGGUGAGUAACACGUGGGCAACCUGCCCCUGACUCUGGGAUAACUACUCGAAAAGAGUAGCUAAUACCGGAUAUGAAACCUGAAGACAUCUUCGGGUUUGGAAAGUUUUUCGGUCAGGGAUGGGCCCGCGGCCUAUCAGCUAGUUGGUGAGGUAGUGGCUCACCAAGGCGACGACGGGUAGCCGGCCUGAGAGGGCGACCGGCCACACUGGGACUGAGACACGGCCCAGACUCC